rnacentral:rRNA from 1 species
AGCAGCCGCGGUAAUUCCAGCUCCAAUAGCGUAUAUUAAAGUUGUUGCAGUUAAAAAGCUCGUAGUUGAAUUUCGGGGUUAGUAGGUUGGUCAUGCCACUGGUAUGUACUGGUCUCACUGAUUCCUCCUUCCUGAUGAACCGUAAUGCCAUUAAUUUGGUGUUGCGGGGAGACUGGACUGUUACUUUAGAAAAAAAUUAGAGUGUUUAAAGCAGGCUCGCGCUUGAAUACAUUAGCAUGGAAUAAUGAAAUAGGACGUUUGAUUCUAUUUUGUUGGUUUCUAGGAUCGACGUAAUGAUUAAUAGGGAUAGUUGGGGGCAUUAGUAUUCAAUUGUCAGAGGUGAAAUUCUUGGAUUUAUUGAAGACUAACUACUGCGAAAGCAUUUGCCAAGGAUGUUUUCAUUAAUCAAGAACGAAAGUUAGGGGAUCGAAGACGAUCAGAUACCGUCGUAGUCUUAACCAUAAACUAUGCCGACUAGGGAUCGGAUGAUGUAAUUUUAAUGA